rnacentral:rRNA from 1 species
AUGGGCUUCGACCCAGUUCGAGAAAGAGGCAGGCUGGUGGAGUGGCUAGGCCUCAGCGCCUUGCUGGGCCGCUAUGAGGCACAAGGCAAGGCCGACCCAGGCAGUCGAUCGGGAAGCAGCGGUGGCUGGUCAACGCGCAGGGGCGCGCUCGCUGUAGAAGAACAGGGGCGCGGCGCACACGACAAUGACGGCGGCGAUGCUCCAGCUUGGCUCGGGGUGGCGGGGAGUGGAGUGGCGGCAGGCUGGUGGAGUUCCGACCACGGAGAAGCGGCUUGGCGAAGCAGGGGAGGCUCGGGCAAUGCACACGGCUGCUGCUGCUCCUUCGGUGGCCCCCGCGGAGGAGCAUGGCCGGUGCGACAGAGUCGCUGGUCCGGCGACAUUACAACAGAGACGGAGGGUGGCGGGGUCGAGCGAAGGUGCGUGUGGAAGGAGAGGAGCUCCAGGCAGAGAAGGUUCCAUGGGGCGGCGGCGUCCUUGUUCGUCCCUGAGAGAGAGAGAGAGAGAGAGAGAGAGAGAGAGCGAUUGAGAGAGAGGAAGACAGGGGAGGACCAGAGGACAGAGAGGAAGGGUCGGCGACCUGCGUGGCCCCGGCGAGGUUGGGGAGGUCUGGCGCGCGAGGAACGGCGCGGGGAAGGAAGGCUGGGCGCGGGUCCAAGGCGCGGCAACAGGCGAUGCAAGGGAGUCGACUCGGGCGUUGGUCGCUAG